GUCAAGAAAUUUGCUCGUUGAGAUCCCUUACUGGAAAAGGUGAUGUUAAUUUUGGUGCUUGGGGAAAACCUGAAUUUGGUUGCAAUGUUUUCGGCACAUAUCAGAGGCCGAGAGCCAAUUUCUAUCCUCUCGCUUCUGAAGGGGCGAGGAAUGUGUUUUUACCUUACAAUGCGAUGUAUAGAGCUGGACAAGAUCCCGUGGUUCCCUCCUACAGUACUAAUUUCCAAAGAGAAAAUCCUACCUUGAACCAGAAUUCAAUCCAAAAUGUGGUUAGGAGGGAAGAAGUUGGAAUGCCAAAGUUUGUAAAUGAGCAGAGGCCACCGGAGAUGUCUAAAGUGUCCAUUCCAGAGAACCAUUUCAAGAAUGAAAAUGACGACUCCUUCAAUGCACAGGCUCCAUGUAAACUGUUUGGCUUUUCCUUGACGAAAGAACCAUCUACUCCUAGCUCGCAGAGUUCUGGUAAGAGGAGCUGUACUAAGGUUCACAAACAAGGCAGCUUGGUUGGACGAGCCAUUGAUCUCUCGAGAUUGAAUGGCUAUGACGACUUGCUGGUUGAGUUGGAGAGGCUUUUCAACAUGGAAGACCUCUUAAGAGAUCCCAACAAGGGGUGGCGAAUCUUGUACACUGACAGUGAGAAUGACAUGAUGGUUGUCGGAGAUGAUCCAUGGCAUGAGUUCUGUGAGGUAGUAUCCAAGAUCCAUAUAUACACUCAAGAAGAAGUGGAGAAAAUGACUAUUGAGGGGAUCAGCGAUGACACUCAAAGUUGUUUGGAGGAGGCACCAGCAAUCAUGGAUGUCUCAAAGUCUUCUUCAGUUGGCCAGCCUGAUUCAUCUCCAACUGUAAUCAGGAUUUGAAUAAAGUUUGAAUGGAGUACCUAUGAAUGUUCAUGCUUUUUUUAUGCUAUGUUAAGUGAUAUAUGUGAUGAUAAUAGUACUCUACCUACUACAUGUUCUUGUUAUGUUUAAUAAAUUAUUGUCACUUAACAUGUUAUGUUAAAUGUUGGAAGUCUGUAAUCAACUACAAUGGGAGCUUGUAUGAUGAA
rnacentral:misc_RNA from 1 species